UACGAAGGGGGCUAGCGUUGUUCGGAAUUACUGGGCGUAAAGGGCGCGUAGGCGGUACUUCAAGUCAGGCGUGAAAGCUCCCGGCUCAACUGGGGAGGGUCAUUCGAUACUGAUCGACUCGAAGGCAGGAGAGGGAAGUGGAAUUCCCGGUGUAGUGGUGAAAUGCGUAGAUAUCUGGAGGAACACCGGUGGCGAAGGCGGCGUUCUGGACUGUAACUGACACUGAGAAACGAAAGCCAGGGUAGCAAACGGG
rnacentral:rRNA from 1 species